rnacentral:rRNA from 1 species
UACGUAGGGUGCGAGCGUUGUCCGGAAUCACUGGGCGUAAAGGGCGCGUAGGCGGCCUGAUAAGUAGGGGGUGAAAUCUUGCGGCUUAACCGCAAGGCUGCCUUCUAAACUGUCAGGCUAGAGCACAGUAGAGGCAGGUGGAAUUCCCGGUGUAGCGGUGGAAUGCGUAGAGAUCGGGAAGAACAUCAGUGGCGAAGGCGGCCUGCUGGGCUGUUGCUGACGCUGAGGCGCGACAGCGUGGGGAGCAAACAGG